AUUGAACGCUGGCGGCAUGCCUUACACAUGCAAGUCGAACGGCAGCACGGGAGCAAUCCUGGUGGCGAGUGGCGAACGGGUGAGUAAUAUAUCGGAACGUGCCCGGUCGUGGGGGAUAACGUAGCGAAAGCUACGCUAAUACCGCAUACGAUCUACGGAUGAAAGCGGGGGAUCGCAAGACCUCGCGCGAUUGGAGCGGCCGAUAUCAGAUUAGGUAGUUGGUGAGGUAAAGGCUCACCAAGCCGACGAUCUGUAGCUGGUCUGAGAGGACGACCAGCCACACUGGGACUGAGACACGGCCCAGACUCCUACGGGAGGCAGCAGUGGGGAAUUUUGGACAAUGGGCGCAAGCCUGAUCCAGCAAUGCCGCGUGCAGGAUGAAGGCCUUCGGUU
rnacentral:rRNA from 1 species